rnacentral:tRNA from 1 species
GUGGAUGUAGCUCAGUUGGUAGAGCGCCGGUUUGUGGUACCGGUGGUCGUGGGUUCAAGUCCCAUCAUUCACCCCA